GUGCCAGCAGCCGCGGUAAUACGGAGGGUGCGAGCGUUAAUCGGAAUUACUGGGCGUAAAGCGCGCGUAGGUGGCUUGAUAAGCCGGUUGUGAAAGCCCCGGGCUCAACCUGGGAACGGCAUCCGGAACUGUCAGGCUAGAGUGCAGGAGAGGAAGGUAGAAUUCCCGGUGUAGCGGUGAAAUGCGUAGAGAUCGGGAGGAAUACCAGUGGCGAAGGCGGCCUUCUGGACUGACACUGACACUGAGGUGCGAAAGCGUGGGUAGCAAACAGGAUUAGAUACCCUGGUAGUCC
rnacentral:rRNA from 1 species